UCUGGGGUAUGGCGUAAGUACAGAGAAGCCAUCACCUCAGA
rfam:Camelus ferus unplaced genomic scaffold scaffold688, whole genome shotgun sequence.